rnacentral:rRNA from 1 species
UACGAAGGGGGCUAGCGUUGCUCGGAAUCACUGGGCGUAAAGCGCACGUAGGCGGAUCUUUAAGUCAGGGGUGAAAUCCCAAGGCUCAACCUUGGAACUGCCUUUGAUACUGGGGAUCUCGAGUCCGGAAGAGGUGAGUGGAACUGCGAGUGUAGAGGUGAAAUUCGUAGAUAUUAGGAAGAACACCGGUGGCGAAGGCGGCCAUCUGGCUCGGUACUGACGCUCAGGCGCGAAAGCGUGGGGAGCAAACAGG